rnacentral:rRNA from 1 species
GACGAACCGUGCGAACGUUGUUCGGAAUCACUGGGCUUAAAGGGCGCGUAGGCGGGCGGCCAAGUCAGGGGUGAAAGCCCCCAGCUCAACUGGGGAAGUGCCUUUGAUACUGGUCGUCUCGAGGGAGGUAGGGGCGUGCGGAACUUCCGGUGGAGCGGUGAAACGCGUAGAUAUCGGAAAGAACACCAACGGCGAAAGCACUCUGCUGGGCCGACACUGACACUGAGAGACGAAAGCUAGGGGAGCGAAUGGG